rnacentral:rRNA from 1 species
CGGAGGGAGCUAGCGUUGUUCGGAAUUACUGGGCGUAAAGCGCACGUAGGCGGCAAUUCAAGUCAGGGUGAAAUCCCGGGGCUCAACCCCGGAACUGCCUCUGAAACUGGAUCGCUAGAAUCUUGGAGAGGUCAGUGGAAUUCCGAGUGUAGAGGUGAAAUUCGUAGAUAUUCGGAAGAACACCAGUGGCGAAGGCGACUGACUGGACAAGUAUUGACGCUGAGGUGCGAAAGCGUGGGGAGCAAACAGGAUU